UGUGGCAGAAUAGUGCAAUAAAUUUAAGAUUUAUAUAAAAAGUUAAUCUUUCUUUAGA
rnacentral:tRNA from 1 species